UCUUUAACUUUUUCCAUUUACAAUGAAUUGGAAACACAAAUAGCCAAUAACUGUCACUGCCUUGAAAGUGAAAGUGAAAUCCUUGUUUGUGUGGUCUCUGUAGACAUUUCAUGCCAAAGGUGGUGAUUUCUCCAAGGUUCUUGUUAUACCCAUAACCUCAAAUGCUUUGGGAUGAAACUCUGCUCAGAGCAAAAAUGGCAGAAUUCAGAAGGAAUUUGUGGAAGUGGAGCUUCUGUUACUCGUAAUUGAAGAAAGACUAAUUCCCCCCAUGUAAUUGAGAAAGAGGCCACACAUCUUUGAAGAAUAUACAAUAUAAGUUCUAACACAUGGAAGCAUUUUCCCUGGGCCAAAAAAGAAAAUAAAAUGCUAUAGAGGACAAAGUUAUUUGUUUUACACUCCAACUCCCUUAUGCAACAUGGUAAGCCACUUACAAUGGGAACAAUGGGCCAGAUUAAUCCUACAGAUUUCAUUUGUUUGGUCAAAGUAGCAUUUAAAACUUUUUCAAUUGGAAAAGAUUCUCAGUGGGCAUACACUUUCCAGUUUACACAUUCUUCAUCUCUGUUUAUAUCAUUUUGCACUUCAGAUUCACCCGAUUUAUAUUGCUUGCCUCUGUAGAUAUUUGAAAUCAGAAUAUUGCAUUCUUUCUCAUUAUAUCAUAAGAGAAUAAUAGAAUUACAUUGGUGCUCUUAGCAAUAGUAAGGAUAGAAGAAAGCUGUUUUGUUUUAAUUGAAUAAUAAUACUGGUCAUGGUUUAAUAAGUACAGAUGAUUUACACACAUUAAAAAAAAAGCCCAAAACAUUCCUCACAAUAACCAUAUAAGAAAGAUGCUUUUAUCUCUAUUUCACAGGUGAAGAAAUUGAAGUUCAUUGGGGUUAGAACAACUUUCCACUGACAUAGAGUUUAUAAGGGACAGACCCGGA